rnacentral:rRNA from 1 species
AAAGGAAUAGACGGGGGAACGCACAAGCGGUGGAGCGCGUGGUUUAAUUCGAUAAUAAACGAAGAACCUUACCAAGGCUUGACUAUCUAGCUGCAAAUUCGCUGAAAGGCGAACUCUUUCGAAGGUGCUAGAACAGGUGUUGCACGGCUGUCGUCAGCUCGUGUCGUGAGAUGUCGGGUUAAGUCCUUUAACGAGCGCAACCCCUAUUACCUGUUGUAUCACUCAGGUGAGACUGCUUACGUAAGUGAGAGGAAGGUGGGGAUGACGUCUAGUCAGCGUGGCCCUUAUGCCUUGGGCGACACACACGCUACAAUGGCCAGGACAACGAGUUGCAAUCCGGCAACGGUGAGCUAAUCUAUAAACCUGGUCUCAGUUCAGAUUGUAGGCUGAAAUUCGCCUGCAUGAAGUUGGAAUCGCUAGUAAUCGCAGGUCAGCCAUACUGCGGUGAAUACGUUCUCGUUCCUUGUACACACCGCCCGU